rnacentral:rRNA from 1 species
UGUGUAGGCGGUUCCUUAAGUUUGCUGUGAAAUCUCCCGGCUUAACCGGGAGGGUGCGGUGAAUACUGAGGGACUAGAGUACGGGAGAGGAAAGUGGAAUUCCUGGUGUAGCGGUGAAAUGCGUAGAUAUCAGGAGGAACACCGGUGGUGUAGACGGCUUUCUGGACCGUAACUGACGCUGAAACACGAAAGCGUGGGUAGCAAACA